rnacentral:rRNA from 1 species
UGCCAGCCGCCGCGGUAAUACGGAGGGGGCUAGCGUUGUUCGGAAUUACUGGGCAUAAAGAGCACGUAGGCGGCUGCCUAAGUCAGAUGUGAAAUCCCUCGGCUCAACCGGGGAACUGCACCUGAAACUGGGCAGCUCGAGGAUGAUAGGGGUGAGUGGAACUCCAGGUGGAGCGGUGAAAUGCGUAGAUAUUGGAAAGAACACCGAUAGCGAAGGCACCUUACUGGGCCAUUACUGACACUCAGAGACGAAAACUAGGGUAGCAAACGGGAUUAGAUA